AUUGAACGCUGGCGGCAGGCCUAACACAUGCAAGUCGAGCGGAGCGGCGGUCGGGUGAGUAAUGCCUAGGAAUCUGCCUGGUAGUGGGGGAUAACGUCCGGAAAUGGGCGCUAAUACCGCAUACUAUCAGAUGAGCCUAGGUCGGAUUAGCUAGUUGGUGGGGUAAAGGCUUACCAAGGCGACGUUCCGUAACUGGUCUGAGAGGAUGAUCAGUCACACUGGAACUGAGACACGGUCCAGUCUCCUACGUGAGGCAGCAGUGGGAAAUAUUGGACAAUGGGCGAAAGCCUGAUCCAGCCAUGCCGCGUGUGUGAAGUAGGUCUUCGGAUUGUAAAGCUCUUUAAGUUGGGAGGCGUUACCAACAGAAUAAGCACCGGCUAACUUCGUGCCAGCCGCCGCGGUAAUUC
rnacentral:rRNA from 1 species